CUUACUUGACUAAUUGUCUUCUUCUAUUUUAUCCUAAAUUUUAGCACUGAACUACUACUAGCUACCUAGUAAAACAGAAGAGGAUGAGUAGUCAGGGCAACGCUGACAGUGGUGUUCGAGACGGUCUCCAAGGUGGAGCCGUUCAGGCAGUGCGUUCUCCGGCUGUGAGAGAAAGGGAAAGGAAAGGGGAAGGGAGAAGGCCAAUGGCACCACCUAAAAGAGGAAGUGUGAUGAAGCAGAUUGUGGCUGAUUUGUGUGAAGUUAAACUUUUCGCCUUUGAUUCGAAUGAAGCUACUUGAUUAAUUGCUCCACAUAGUCAUUGACAUGAUAUCUAUGUAUGCUUUUCGUAUAUACUUUUCAUUCCCUUUUCCUUUUCUCGUGAAAUGUGGUAUUGAGGAUCGAGCACAAUGGAGUCAGCAUUUUGCUAAUGACAACAACAAAAUUAAGUACGCAUUGUUUCCAUCUCUCGAUAGAAAUCAAUACUGUUACUGAAUUAUGUAUUCUACAGUUAUUUAUUUUUAAUUAUGUGGUGUGUUUGGAAGUAUUCUUAUUAAGAAUUUUAUUCUAUUUUAUUAUUUCAGUAUAAUAUUCGCAAUUCCUAAAUUCAAAGCAAAUUUAAUAUACGAAAUAAUAAUUGUUAAUUACAGUAUUCACUAACUACAUUUAAAGAAAUCAAAGUAGAUUACCUAUAUGUGAUGUGAUUCAAAGAGCUGGCUAUGUAUGAGUGUCGAAGAAAAACAGUAAAGGGUAUCCUUUUGGUAGCAAAGCUUUGGUCAAUGUUACUUCCUUUUUUCUCCUGCAACUUGUUUUUUUGUUUCUUCUUUUUUGUUUUGGUGCUAGUGCACUGAUGUUUUCUUCUUUUCUCCUUACGACUUGUGUUUACUUUUCUUUUUUUUUUUUUUUUUUUCACGUUUUAGUGCUGCAACACUUGGAUGUUUUUUAUUUAACUCUUUCGGUUGUUUUGGUGCUAUGGGAGUUAUCUUUUUUUUUUUUUUUUUCUUUUUGUAAUGGUUUAAAUGCGACUUAAAUUAACCGUGUUUAGUUAGACUAUUUUAUUGUAAAAUGUUAUUCUUUGCAACCGAAAAUAAAUUAUUAAAAUUCAUCCUUAAAUUAAAAUUGUCCCCUAAGUUUAAUAUGAGUAAAAUAUCAUAAUAAACUUAAAUCGUCGGCUUUGUUUCCUAUUAUAAAAAAAAGGGACAAUUUUUGAAAUUAUUUCCUUAUUUCAAGGGUUAUGACUUGGAUACAAAUAAUAUCCACCGUCUCCAAUUUUCGUCUCCUUUUCUCACUUUUUUUUGUGGUGGUCACUUAAUCUUUCAUAUUACUCAUACUUCUAUUUUGAUAUACUUAAUAUUUAUAUUUAUAUCUAAAAAUAUAUUUGGUUCAAUGUAGCAGGUUGAAGUAUAUAUCCAAACUCCUAAUUAUUACAGACAAAAUCCGUGGCAUUAAAUAUUUUGAGGACAUUAAGAUUUGUUACAGUGAAAUUGUUCGGCCUAAAUAGAGCCAUCUAUCACAACUCUAUCUCUAUUUCAUAACACGAAGAAAGAAUCAUAGCCUUUCAUUAUUUUUUUUUCACCUUUUUUUUUAUCAUAUUCAUUAAUAGCUUUGAGGAAUACUUCCAAUUUUGCUUAUAUGUUUUCACUAACUCAAAAAAUGCAUUGAACUAUUGUUUAAAAAUAUUAUGUUAAUUUAUAUUAAUUAUUACAGCAUUAUUGAAAACUCAUAUGGACGAGAAUAUUCAAAUUUAAAAUCACUGUAAUUCUCAAAAAAAAAUUAAAAUUAAAAUCACUGUUUUCUCACCUUUAAAAGAAAUGAAAUUGAAAAUAUCAAAUAUAUAUACGUAAUUAAUAUCAUUUUAGCCACAUAAUUUUCAAUUGGUUGAUUUAACAAUCAAAUUUCAUUAUAAUAAACCAAAUAAAAAUCGAAUCAAAUCACUGAGUUGGACCAAACCGGUUCGAAUUAAAUCGGAAUGGUCUAGAAGCUCUAGAUUUCUCCUUUCCUUUUCUUUUUCUUUUCUUCUUCUUCUUCGGCGACACGCCUCUCCUCUCCUCCCUCUCCUUCCCUCUUGUUUCGGCCAUCUGAGACAGUCGAAUCACGCUCUCCUCGUCGUUGCGCCACCAUUGUGCUGCAGUUCUUUCCCCUCUCUGUUUCCAUCUUCAGCGGGCGCAGCAAAUUGGUGAGCUGCGAUCCCUCUCACUGGCGAUCGACGCAGCUGCCCCACCUGCCUCCAAACGCUACUCAAUGUCACGUUCUUUCCCUGCUCACGAGUCCAGUGAGCGCUGAACACGGAGGAACUGCAGUUUUUUUUUGUAAUUGGUGGCGACAAUGACGGCGAUACUAGACCCCUGCCAAGCCCGCUAUGACUGAGUGUAGGGCCAAUCUAGCGAAACAAAUGCCAAAAAUGAAUUCUUGAGCAAAAUCUGAGCUAGAUGGUGUAAAGAGAGCUCGAUUCCGAGCACUCACGAUUUUUCGGCCACCGUGUAUGGUUGCCAGAGGCUGCGGUCCGGCGAUCGGCCGGCGAGUCUAUAGCAUGCCCCAAGAGACAAAAUGAUCUUCUCUUUGUGCAAAUCAUAGAAUCAGAGAUUCUCAAUCGGUACGCUCUAAGACUUAGUUCGUCAUUUUUGUUAAAAAUUUCAAACUUAAAUUAAUUGGUUAAUUUAGUUAAUUUCGAAUAAAUAAGUAAUAGAAGGACUUUGAAAUAUUCAGUUUUGAAGUUUGUGAAAAUAAUUGGAGUUUUUAGGAGAUUUGAACUUGAGAUUCAAUUGUUAGAAAUUGUGAUUAUAUUAGAUGAUUGAUAACGUAAGUUAACUAGAAUUGAUUAUUGUUGUGAAUUAAAAUCUAGGAAGUUUAGUUUUAUAUGACUAUGAUAUUGAGCCUUAUUACCUCUAAGUGUAAAUCAUGAAUCAAUAACAAGUACUUGGUUAUCUUUAUUAACUUGUGAUUUAGUUGUUAGUUAAAGAAUGUAUAACCUAUAAUACAAUUGUGGAUGAGUUGAUCUUGGAUCCUUUUGGUGCAAUGAUGGGAUGGUGUUAGUAAACUGUUCAUAAUUAAAAGGGAAUGAACUAUUAAUCAAUCGAUUAUUAUGUUGUUGUAAUUAUAAGCAUUUUGGAUAGGCUAAUAAUGUGAGGUUUAGAAUUUUUUAGAAUGAUUAAGUGCAUAUAUGUGUGUGUGUGGUGGUUAAUGAAUAAUGGUUAUGGUAGACGGGAUUAGUUAUUGUGAAUUGCCAAUGGACGGGCUUGAGAAUUUAUUAUUGAAUUAUAGUUUUAAGCGGGUGAUUUAGCCCAAUUUCUAGAGAAGGUUGUGCUGAAGUUUCGCUAGAAUCUAGGGUAAUUAUAUAUAAUAAUUAAAUUAAUAGGUUUAUUUGGAUUAAUCUUAUACCUUAAUAUAUUUAAAAUUAAACUCUUUAUUUAUUUAUUUAUUUAUUUAUUUACUUAUUUAUUUAUUUUUAAGAACCGAUUAUUAUAGAAUAUUAUUAUUUAAUACUCUUGUAUUUAUUUGAAUUGGUAUAUGGAUGUUUAUUUGUAUUCUUGUAUGAAAAUGUUUACUUGAUUAAUGUGCUUGCAUUUAAAAGCAAUGUUUGAUUAUUUGUGUUGUGACAUUGCUAUGCCUUGUUUAUAUGGAGUUGAGAUGAAGUGGGUUACCAUGGGUUUGUGAGGACGGUCCUGGAAAUGAUGAAAAUGUGGAAUUUGACGGUCGACCAAGUAUGGAGAGAUCGCGAUCCCGUGUGCACCUGAUGAUAUGAUAUGGAUGAUAUGGAAAACCACAGGAUGGCCUCUUAUUCGUAUAAAAAAGAAAAGAUAGAAUGGAAAAACAAUGAGAGGGUCGAUCAAAUGAGGAUUAGACCGGUCGACCAUGUAUGGGGAUCGGUUCCCUGAUGCACAUGUCAUUAGAGAAUGGGCCAUGUGGGAAGACGACUCAUAGGGGUUUCGGUGACACCACAUACCAAUUUUCACAUGAUUAUGUGAAGUUGUUAAUAAUUUUGAGUGCUGUUGUAUGCCAUUUGUAUGACUGUCAACGUGAUCAUAUAACUAAUUAGAUGACUAGAUUGAUAUAUUUAUGCAUUUGUGUGAAUACAUAUAUUGUGCAAUAAUUAUUAUUCCUUAUAAAACUCACAUAUCUUGUUUAACUUUUCAAGAAGUAGGUUCCUCUUUAUUCUGAAUUAAGUUCUAUUUCUUCACUGUAGAGUUAGAAAGAAAUUUUUCUAGUUGCAGUGAUUAUUUUGCUAUAUAACUAUUUGUACAAGAACUUAUUUAUAUCUGUCUGUUAGUGAACUCCGCAGUUGUAGGGAUGAAAUCAAUAAACUAAUGAGGAUGUUCAAUUAAUUAUUUAUGAAAUGUUUGAAUCUGUUAGCCCAUAUAUCGUAUUAUAUUUGGCCCCGAGCUAUAAAUUGUUUAAGAUGUUAAAUUUUUCCAAAGAAUAAUAAAAUUAUGAGAUUUAUAGUGCAUGACAAUAUGGGCCGGAUGUUUGAAAUAGACAUAAUAUAGUUAAGUUUUGUAAUUUAGGCUUACUACAGGCCUCGGUGGCCUUAAACUUACCUAGGCCCUAGUGCCGGUUUUGCCCAUGGAAAUGGGUCGUGACAAAGUGCAACUUUAACUAAUUCUUACUUAAUCUCUUUCUAAUUUGGUUGUCUUAAUUUAAUUUAGUUCUAAGUAUGAGACUUCAUCAAUCACUAUUAGGUUUAAUUUCAAUUAGGGUAUUUUACUUUAAUUUAAUUUUAGGUGUGACUUAAUUUAAUUCAAAUUGGAUUGUUUAAUUAAUUUGAUUCAAGUAUGACUACUUAAUUGUUACUUCAUUUAACUUUAGUUUAAAGAUCUUAAUUUAAUUUGAUUUUUAAAUACGAUUUAUUAGAGUGUAAAUUAAUCAUUCAAGUUAUUGCCUUUAUCUAUAUGCAUUAAAAUUUAUAUGUGGAGAAUGUCGAAUUAAUUUGAUUUAAGUGUGACUUACUCAAUUGUUACUUCAUUUAAUUUUAGUUUAGAUAUCUUAAUUUAUUUGAUUUUUAAAUAUGAUUUAAUAGAGUGUAAAUUAACCAUUCAAGGUUUUGUCUUUAUCUAUAUACAUUAAAAUUUAUAUGCAGAGAACGUUCCAUAGACUUAUCAUAAGAAAAUGUAUAAUACGUGUCAAAAUAAUUUGACAACGAUUGAUCCUAAGAUUUUACUUAUACUCAUGCCAAAAUGUGCGAUUAUAUGUCAUUUGAGUUAUAACUUUCAAGUGUGACAUAAUCAAUGGUUACUUGGUUUAAUUUAAUUUCAAGUGUAACUUAAUUUAAUUUGAAUUAGAUUAUCUAAAUUUAAUUUGAUUCAAGUGUGACUAAGUGUGAUUUAUUUAAUUUUUAUUUCAUUAAAUUUCAAUUUAAAUAUCUUAAUUUAACUUAAUUGUUAAAUUAAUUAAUAAAAUAUAAAGUAAACUUAAAUGAGAUUGGCCUAACGGUAAAGAGUACUUGCGAAGGUAGAAAUUAUAUUUUUAGGUCAUUGGUUCAAUCCUUACACUCAAAACUCUAGAAAACAUUCACAAUUUUUCUAUGCAUUUCACAACUUAAUUAUUAUUUAAUGCAUUGGUUCAAUCCUUACACACAAAACUCUAGAAAACAUUCACAAUUUUUCUAUGCAUUUCACAACUUAAUUAUUAUUUAAUGCACCUAUUAGCGUAGUGACAUUUAUAUGUAGAACUAAUUUUCAAGUAUAACAAAUAUGACUUAUUUAAUUGUAAUUUGAAUGUUUUAAUUUCAUAUGAUUCCAAAUGUAACAAAGUAUGGCCUAAAAAAAAUCAAGUUAAAGGAAAAUUAAGUGACAUGUGAUUAUUUAUGUCUCAUAAAUCAUUAAGACACUUGGAAGAAUAUAAUUUGCUAAUUGAUGAGGUAAAAACAAAAUAAAUGUCUAGUAUGUGCAUUGAUAAUCUCAUUCAUUCAAUACUUUGUUUAGAGUUAUUAAAUGAUGAAAAAGAAAUAUUUAAAAUUCAAAUUUUAAAUCUCUUCCUCUCUAUGUCAAAUCUACCAAUUUUAAGUGAGGAUUGAAAGUGACAUUUGACAUAUUAAAUUUGAAUUAAAAUGUCAUUUUAAAUCCCAUGAUCCUUGAUCACCAUGUGCUAAAAACCUUUUUCUUUUGAAUUUUACUAUUCCCUCCAUUCUUUUUAUAUAUAUAUAGGAAAAUUUUCUAUUUUGGGUGUUCUUUUUACAUAGAAAAUUUUGUCUAAUUUAAUAACUUUGGGAACCAUGCUAAUUUGAAAAGUCUAUCUUACCAUUAUUUUAGUCUUUUUUUAAGCUUUUAGGAUGUGAAAUUCUCAAGAUAGUGGCAGGCAAAUAUAUAGAUGAACAUUUAAUGUGAAGAAGUUUUAGAGAAUUGUUUUUUUACAUCAAUUUUCAUUAAAAAGAAAAUGUGCUCAUAUAGGUGAUUUGAUUGUCGACUAAAAUGGAGUUUGAAAAGAAAAUGACCAGAAACUUUUUAGAUUGACCAUAAUAAAAAGAAUCCUUACUGAUUUCGCUCGAAUAUUUGAAAAAAUUGUGCGAUAUUUAAACUACGUUUACAAUAGCUAAAAACAUCUUGAAGGUUAAAUGAGCACAAAUUAAAAAUUUCCACACAACUUUACUAAAUAAAGGACUAAAAACCAAAAUUUUCUCCACAAGUCAGAGCAUAAACUUUAAUUUUUGCAACCAUCUUUAUACUCUUCAUUCCAACAAAGCAUUUAAAGCAUAAUUAAAGAUUGAAAUAUAAUUUAAGGGAUACAUUGAUAUUAGAGAAGGAAUAAAUGAGAUAUUAGAAGUAAAUUAGGAAAGCAAAUGACAAAAAAAGUUGAUUAAACUACUUUCUUAAUCUUUAUGGAAAGUUAGUUGUUCCUAUAUAAAAAGAACGGAGGGGGUAUAUAUAUAUAUAUUUUUUUAGUUUUCAAUUAAUUAAAUGCUAUAAAGUAAAGACGUAAUUAUCCUUUAUCACGUGAGAAGAAUUUUUAUAAUUAAAUUUCAGAUUUAAGUUCUUUGUUGAUCCUUGAGCAACAUUUAUUGCAUUUAAUUAGUUCCAAUGUAUAUCACUUUUAAUUCUAAUGACCAUUUAUUAAAGAAUUGAUUGCUGGCUAAAUGCUCAAUUAGUGUUUCCAUUGGCUUAUAAACAAGAAGAUUACAAAAGAAAAAGAUGUAAUAUUAAAAAUUAAAUAUACUUUAGAUAAUAUCAUGAUUUAUACUUUAAAGAAUUAUAUAAUUUGUAUAUUAAAGAAUUUAUAUAUUCAUUUAUACUUAUAAAAAAAUAUAUGUAUUAGCUAUGAAACUAGAAAUAAAAUGGAAGUACGAAUCUAAUUAAAAAAACCUUUAAGAUUAUUUAUGUUAUGGAUUUUCAUUUAAUUAAAUUAACGAAGUAUUACGUUCAUAAAUAUCUUAAUUUCAACUAUAUUAUUCAUAUAUGAUUUAUUUAUUAUUUUCUUUUGACAAAUUAAUAAUUUCUCUUCAAUUCAUAUAAUAUUAUAAUAUAUUUAUUAUAAUCCAUGAAAAUAUAGAAUAUUUUUUAACCGAAAAAAGUAUUUUUUAUUUAAUCUAAUUAUGAUCACAGAAACUUUCUAACUAAUUAAACUCUAAACAUGAAAAAAAUACUAACUAAUUCAAUUAAGUAUAUUAGUGUUUAAUAGAAUUACUGUUAUGCACUUAUUUAAAUUAUAAUAUUAUAUUAUAUUAUAUUAUAUUAAUUAUUAUAUUUAAUUUGAUUAUUCUUAUUAAUUUUUUAAUUUCAUUACAGUGUGCUCAACUUUAUUAAUUUAUUAUUUAUUCUUCAAUACAGUGUGCUCAACUUUGAAAAUAAUUUAUCUACAUUCUAAAAAAAUAUAAAUAUUUAUUAUUUUAUUAUUUUAAUCAAUUCAUAAUGAAACAUUAUAUUUUAAUUACAAAAUGCUAGAAUAUUAAGUGUAUAUGACUGUGCAUACAUAUGAAAGAUUGAAUAACUAUAUAAUCGAAAUAUAUGGAUCAAUAGUAGUAUAUAUGAAUUUUAAGAAGUAGUUUAUCAAUAUAGCGAUAUUUUUCAAUUCUAUAGAAUAAAUAUAUGCAUGACAUACAUAACUAUAACACAUGGUUUAUUUCAUAAAAUAUUAAUGUACUAAUUGAAUCAUAAGAAUAAAUAUUUAGCAUACAUACUAAUUAUGUGAAGCAAAGGUAUAUGUAGUUAUGAAAUUAUAAGAGAUGUUUAAAUCAUAAAAUAUUAAAAUAGUAAUUAACUCAUAAGGAACAAUUUUAAUAAAUACUAUUUCAUUAAAUUUAAAAAAUUAAAGUUACCUUGAAAUUUCAAUUUGAAAAUUGAUUUAACAUAAAUCAAAAUAUGAUAAUUCAUGUAUCAAUAUGUGUUUUUGUAUUUUAUAAUCAUAAGUAUAAUUUUUCAAAUAUUUCUAUAUGAAUUAAUUAAUAUAGUAAAUUAGUAAAUGACUAUUUUUUUUACUAUAGAAAAAUAGUAAUCAUGUAUACGUAAUCAUGUAUACGUCAUCAUGUAUACGUCAUCUCUGUUUCUUUACAAUAUUAAUUAAUUUAGUAUAGUGCAGACGCUUAACCUCCAAGUUUUCCUCCCGCGUUAUAUUUACACAGCAAUUGAAACAUGAGAACCUCACACAAGCUUAGCAAGUGAAAGCAGAGAGAGAGAGAAAGAGAUGGAUAAGAAGAAGCAACAAGAAGAGGGGUCCAACUCCAACAACAAGGCCCUAAAAGAAGCAUUUUUCCCAACAAAAGAUGGAAGUGUUUUUCCACCAAAGAAGAAGUUAGUAAAGAGGAUGGUGUUCGAUUGUUUGGUCCAUUCCACUACAGCAAACAAGCAGCAGACAGCUUGUAGCUGCUUUCUAGACUGCAAGAAGAGCAAGCCCAUAUUUCCAAACCCUUAGAUUGUAUCUAUAUUGCCUUUAAAUGUAUGGCAAUAGUGUAUAUAUGUGUCUUCCUUUAUAUGUUCUUUCUAGUUUCGUUAAUUUAGAUAGUUUUUAAUUAUUAAAAUGUAUUAACUUCCUCUCUAAUAUUAUGUUUUCUACACUUCUUUGGCUUUGCAUUCCAAUCUUUAAUUAUUUAUCUUAUGUUAUUUGUUUAAACCUAAUCAGAACAAAUUCCGGUAAUAAUAUGUUUCUCCAAGUUAAGAAAAUAAAGCAAAUGAGAGUUGAAGUCCACUCCGGGGGACAGAAUUCACUAAAGAGAAGACAAAAAAUCGUUUCCUUGCAAUGACACGCCAUACAGAAACAAGAUCGUCUUAGUUGUCUUGAAGGGAAAAAUCCAAAACAAUUAGUGAGAUGAAAACAAUUAGGGCAUUGGACAGUACUAGAUUGUCUGGUCGGCCACUUCUCCAAAUUUGCUUUCUGCAAUUAGCACUUAGCCAAAAGUACAAGUCCAUUAAAAUCUCAUUACAUGCCACGGUGAUCGGUCUACUCUUUCAUUUGUGUCUUUCUUUUUUCUUUUUUUAAAGGAUACAUUUUUGUCUCAAUUGCUUGAAAAAUACACAUCUAGUUAAAUCUUAUAAAAUUUAUUUACAUAAAUAGAAAGAAAUGAAAUAAGACUAAGUAGAAUCAGAUUAAACAGUACGAAGUAAUUUAAAAUGUUUAUAAAGUAUCUAAUCUUAAUACUUAAUCUAAUUAAAUGAUAUGUACAAAACAGUAAAAACAAAUUUUAGAUAUUGACAGUUAAAUUGAAGUAAUUAUCUCCAAAUACCAACUGCACCACUUCCAAAAGAAAUAAGAAAGAAAAAUGAAUAUAUAAACUAAAAAGAUUGAGAGCACCGGCCACCAUCUGUUUAAGCAACCAAAAUUCCAGCUAAUGUAAUCCAAUAAAUUUCUUCUUACAUAAUUACCGUACAAACUUUGAUUGUCUUGCAAUCUUAUAUAUAGAGCAAUCGGAUAGAUUAGGGUAGACUGAAAUCAUGGCUCCAGCCAUAGAUUAAAUCAAUCAAAAUAUGAAGUUUUAUUGAAAGGAUGGUAAGUCUAACUAUACACCAGGGAAUAAAAAAAGGACUAAUAUAUAAAAAAUUAUUAUUUUUAUUGAUUUGGUUCAUAAGUGGAGUAUUUUCCUGGGGGUGGCAGUAUUUAUUAAUGGUCUUAUCAUGAAUUUUGAUCAGAAAAGGAAAAGAAAAGGAAAGGAAAGCUUCUACUGCUACGACAUGCUUAUGCUAUGAGGAAUAUUGGAAUAUUUAAAAUUUUUCCUCCUUUGCGUAAUUCUUUUGCAUCUUCCAAAGAUCAAAAUACAUAAUGCAGGAUUAAAGGUGAGAAAAUUGAUGCACUACAACAAAAAGUUGAAACUCAUUCUUGGAAUCCAAUUGACAUCUUUCAUACAUCAUUUCUAAUCUCAAUUACCCAUUUUGAACCCUAAUACUAGUAUUUAACGUUACACGUUACUACUCGUUCAAAUUACUCCAAUUUUAUUCGUAAAAUAAAAGGUUAUAUUAUAAAUCCAAUAUAUUCUCAUAAUAUUUAAUUACAAUGAAAAUUUAUAAAUAAGAAUUAUAUUAAGAAUCUAAUUUCAUCAAAUAAAAAUUGUAUUACAAAUGCAAUCUAUAUUUUAAUGUGUAAAAUAUAAUAUUUUAUUAUAAUGAAAUUCAUAAAUAAAAAGUAUAUUAUUUGCAUAUACUCGUAAUUUAAUUUGUUAUAUAUAUAAUGUAAUAUUAUAAAAUAUUUAUAAUACGAAAAAUUUUAGAGAACAAUAUUAAUUUAAUUAUCAAUAACUAAAGAUAUUUUUUAUUUGUAAAAUAAAUUAAUAAAUUUGUAAAAAAAAUGUUUACCUAAUAUUCAACAAAAGUAGAACAAGUAUUCAAGUCAAUUAAAAAAAUUAAAAUAAAAUUUAAUAGAAAAAUAAUUAAAUAAAAAUAUUUCACAAAAGAAAAUUAUAAUUUUUACCCUAAUUGUCAUAGAUAAAAAAACUAUGCAAAAGAAUUUUCUGUUAACUGAUUUUCCUAAAAACCCAAAAAUCAGAAAAUCAAAUUAUUUUUCAAAAAUAAAGGAAACUACAAUAUUGAAUAAUUUUGUUCUUAAAAAAACUCUAAAUUGAACUAAAACAAUGGCAUAUGCAUAGAUUUAAUAUAUACUCGUUUUCAAUCCAUUUAAUUAACCCAAAUUUAUUUUAAAUGAACUUUUAUGAAUUUAACACCCAUAAAAAUCUGGGUCACUUCUAUCCCUAAAUGCAACUGAAACUCUAUUUUUUAUGUUAUGAUAUUUUGAGACAUGAAUGAAAAUUAUCUAAUCCUGAACAUUCCAUUAUAUAUAUAUAUAUAUAUAUAUAUAUAUUUAUAUAUAUAUAUAUAAUGAAUAUGAGGAAAAUAUAUAAAAUAAUGUUAUUUUUUUAUUAAAAAACAAAAAAAAAUUGUUUUUUGGUUUUUACUCACUUUGAUGCCCUAUCAAACGUACACAUCAGCAGCAACAACUUCAACGGUAUCUUUCUACACUGCAGAACUACCGACCUACAACAACUCGACAAAGACUUCUGGACAAAUUGAAUUUACAACGCUCUAUCCGCAUCUUCAAGUUCCACACCCGCUAUCCAGGAGCGUGCAUUCACGACUCAUCAACGCUGUAAAUGGGUAAAAUUACGUAUGGGGACUGUGAGACUGUGAACUAGGGCUCGAGGCGGGCCUGCAGUGAUGAAACCCAAUUAAAGUUCAAAUAUUGGGCUUACAUUGGACCCAACAGCUUAAAUAAGUUUGAACCUGAGUAAGCUUUGGGUCAUUCCAAAAAUAAUUCUAAAUAUUUUCUUAUACUUAGAUUUUUUUUUUUAUAUAUAAAUUUUUAAGCAACUGAAUUGAAAUUCAAAUGUAAGCACUUGUUAUUACACAAAUAGUCUGUGUGUGGAAAAAAAUAUAAGGGAUUAUAGUUAAAUUAAUAUAUGAAAAAAUUUUAUUUUCAAAAACUAAUAAUGAGGUCCCUAAUUUAUGAUUUCUUUAACACUUUGAUUUUUUUUUUUUUUUAAAUAUCUUCUCGCUGUUAAUUGACCAAGUUAAAUUGUAGUCAAACUAGCUAUGAUAUGUAACAUUAUCAAUUCUGUAAUACUAUUAUUGUAUUUGUUAUGAGUUAAAAUUUUAAUAUUUUUAACUAAUUUUCAAUAUUGUAACCAAAUAACGAAAAAUAAGUCAUUUGGAAAAUAUUUUUUACAAAUAAGUUAUUUUUCGGAAACAAACGAGAGACUUAAUUACUUUUUAAUAUCAAAUAAUGGAAUUAAUGCCAAUGGUUUGUAUAUCCUUGCUCUAUUGUAGUAUAAACAAAAGAAGAUUAAAAUAAUGAGUUUCGAGUUAGUAGUAUCUGUAUUAUCAUUAUUGUGAGUUUGAACUCAAAAAUGACUAAUAAAAAUAAAUAUCUAUGAAUGCAGAAAGUCUGUAAUUAAUGUGCAUAUGUAUUUAGUAAAAAAUGGGAUAUUUCAGUUACAAAGUAGGACAACUAGUGGCUCGGAUCGUAAUUUGAUUGAAGUAAACGACAAAGCUUGUCUCAUUUAUAAACAAGACCUGUCUUUUCUUGGAAACUUCAUAUUUGAAGUCUGAAGAAAAUUAUUACCAAAUCAACCAACAUUAUAAUUGGCAAGUAACGUCUGGAUGUAAAAAAGUGACUGUAGGAAUAGGAUGUAUUCGAUUUGGAAAGGUAAGACUGUGUUUGGGUUAGGGAUUAAAGAAAAUAAUGAAGGAAAAUAUAUAUAAAAAAAAAGUUGAGAGCAAAAUAAGGACGGAAAAUGAUUUUAUGAAUAUUAAAAUUAUGAGUGUAAACUUUUUUUUUUAAUAAAAAUACAAUAAUUGGGGUAAAAUUAUAAUUUUAAUUAAUUUUCUCCAACAUUCCUUUGAAAUUGAAGAUAAAAUGAUACGUGGAUACCAUCAUUUAUUUGCCUUUUUUCCAUAUUUUUUCAUUCCCAAACAAGUGGAGAAAAGAAAAUUUGCGACUGGGAAGACACUACAAACUAGGCUAGGACACAAGAGUGGUUUCCCAUAAAACAGGAGGCUUCAAAAAAACAGUGGGCAAGUUUGAUACAUAAAAAAUCCUAGAUAAAACAAAGAACCAUAUUUAGCCACGUAAAAAUCCUUGCAAGAGACAAAAUUGAGUGACGCAAAGAGUGACAUCACUUUUCUUUCCUGCAUUACAUCAUCGUCGGCUGCGCAUGCUCUUGUACAGUACAUGUCUUUAAAUCCUUACUUGACUACUUGUCUCCUCCCAUUUUAUCCUAAAUUUUGGCACUGAACUACUACUAGCUACCUAGUAAAACAGAAGAGGAUGAGUAGUCAGGGCAACGCUGACAGUGGUGUUCGAGACGGUCUCCAAGGUGGAGCCGUUCAGGCAGUGCGUUCUCCGGCUGUGAGAGAAAGGGAAAGGAAAGGGGAAGGGAGAAGGCCAAUGGCACCACCUAAAAGAGGAAGUGUGAUGAAACAGAUUGUAGCUGAUUUGUGUCAAGUUAAACUUUUCACCUUUGAUUCGAAUGAAGCUACUUGAUUAAUUGCUCCACAUAGUCAUUGACAUGAUAUCUAUGUAUGCUUUUCGUAUAUACUUUUCAUUCCCUUUUCCUUUUCUCGUGAAAUGUGGUAUUGAGGAUCGAGCACAAUGGAGUCAACAUUCUGCUAAUGACUACAACAAAUUUAAGUACUCACUGUUUCCAUCUCUCGAUAGAAAUCAAUACUGUUACUGAAUUAUGUAUUCUAUAGUUAUUUGUUUUUAAUUAUGUGGUGUGUUUGGAAGUAUUCUUAUUAAGAAUUUAUUGUAUUUUAUUAUUUCAGUAUAAUAUCCGCGGUUCUUAAAUUCAAAGCAAAUUUAAUAAACGAAAUAAUAAUUAUUAAUUACAGUAUUCACCAAGUACAUUUAAAGAAACCAAAGUAGAUUACCUAUAUGUGAUGUGAUUCAAAGAGCUUGCUAUGUACUGAGUGUUGAAGAAAAGCAGUAAAGGGUAUCCUUUUGGUAACAAAGCUUUGGUCAAUGUUACUUCUUUUUUUCUCCUGCAACUUGUUUUUUGGUUUCUUCUUUUUUGUUUUGGUGCUACUGCACUGAUGUUUUCUUCUUUUGCCCUUACCACUUGUGUUUA
rnacentral:lncRNA from 1 species